rfam:Echinostoma caproni strain Egypt genome assembly, scaffold: ECPE_scaffold0014800
GGCCCGGUGGCGCAGUUGGUUAGCGCGUCGUGCUGAUAACGCGAAGGUCGUGGGUUCGAGCCCCACCCGGGCCA